CCUACGGGAGGCAGCAGUGGGGAAUAUUGGGCAAUGGGCGCAAGCCUGACCCAGCAACGCCGCGUGAAGGAAGAAGGCUUUCGGGUUGUAAACUUCUUUUAAGAGGGAAGAGCAGAAGACGGUACCUGAGGAAUAAGCCACGGCUAACUACGUGCCAGCAGCCGCGGUAAUACGUAGGUGGCAAGCGUUAUCCGGAUUUACUGGGUGUAAAGGGCGUGUAGGCGGGACUGCAAGUCAGAUGUGAAAACCAUGGGCUCAACCUAUGGCCUGCAUUUGAAACUGUAGUUCUUGAGUACUGGAGAGGCAGACGGAAUUCCUAGUGUAGCGGUGAAAUGCGUAGAUAUUAGGAGGAACACCAGUGGCGAAGGCGGUCUGCUGGACAGCAACUGACGCUGAGGCGCGAAAGCGUGGGGAGCAAACAGGAUUAGAUACCCUUGUAGUC
rnacentral:rRNA from 1 species